AGAACUUGAAAAUUCAGUGGUGCACUCAUGACUGGCACUGGACUUGGCGAUUACGUAAUGAGCACUGAGGCGACACGAGCGCACAAUGGCGGGAAAUCUGAAUAACUCCCUGAGAAUAACAGAAGUAUAUCACUACGGGUAGUACGUGAAUGGCGAUAUUCACACAAAUACAAUAGAAUGCCUUUCGCUUAACAUGCGUGUAAGAAAUGUGGAAAGCAAGUUUAAGCUUUGAAGGAAAAGAGGGACCGAAGACGAUACGUGUUAAUCUGUGUAGUCGGUGACUUCUUGAUUGUAAACAAGAAAAUUUAAACAUCAUCAUCAUCAUCAUCGUUGUACGGAAGAAGUAGGUAGUCCUGUAGUGCUUCCGAUCAUUCCUUCGAAGUUUCUUAAACUGGUCUUUAAAACAACUAAACGUGUGGAUAUUUAAUUGGUGUUGCAUGUCAAAAACUCUUCCAUUUAAAUAAAAAAUGAUCAAACGUUUGACGAGUGCAGUGUACAUUUUCGGCAUGCAAGAUACAGCAACAAACUGGACUAUAAAAAGGGCCCUGAUCGAGUUGUGAUCUAUGUACAUGAUGUCUGCAGUGUGACCACACCUUCGGCACUAAAAGCACCUUGCUACUUAUGUUUUACUCUAAAUAUGUGGAACCAAAUGUUUACAUUCUGAUGAAGAUCUGCACCACUGAAAUGUCGGCUGUAAAAUUGUAUAGGCCUGUAUAUCAAGAUCAUCCAUGUCGACCAAACCCCCGAACCUAGUCGUGACUCCCUCGAGCCCAUGACACACUGGAGGGAGAAAGUGAUAUUCUAUGACGAUGACAACGACGUCGACGACGACCAUGUCUCUGGUUCAUUUCAGCUUUUUGGUCAGCGAUGCAUCCGCAGUGGAUCGAGCAGGAUGUGGAUCACCGUGGGAGGUUAUGCACCUCAUGGCGCACAGGGCUUAGUUGGAUAAAAAUUCUAUUGUGGUAACAUUGUCAUUUACUGGUAGGGCGUGGAGGCUGGUGCUGAGAUCCCCCCAAGGAAUUUUUCUUAAAUUGGGCGAUUGUAUCGUCAUUCUUAUCAGUAUAAUCUUAAUGGAGAUUUUAAAGUGUUAGUCCGAUUUCGACUAUUUAUUCAAGUCAAAUCUUCAAAUGAUAUGUAUUGUGGUAACAUUGUCAUUUACUGGUAGGGCGUGGAGGCUGGUGCUGAGAUCCCCCCAAGGAAUUUUUCUUAAAUUGGGCGAUUGUAUCGUCAUUCUUAUCAGUAUAAUCUUAAUGGAGAUUUUUAAGUGUUAGUCCGAUUUCGACUAUUUAUACAAGUCAAAUCUUUAAAUGAUCUGUAUUUCUAAAUUUUCGAUUUUUUGUUCUCCAGUGAAUUUUUCAAAAUUGUGCACAAUGUAAAAAGGUCGAUGUCCUCAUGUUUGCCUCAUUAUGCCAAUAAUAGUACCAUUGAGAUCUGGAUUUUGAUUGGCUGCUGAGCCUGUUACCAAGGUAGCUGCCAAUUAGCAAAGCUACAAUGUCAUAUAGGUCAAAUAGUAAAUAUUAUUCAAUGGGACCCUGACACUUCAUUGGCUCAUCUUUUUUUUAAUAAUCUUGUUCUCUUAUAACCUGGUAAAACAGUGUUAUUUGAAAAGGCAACACGAUAUUAGUUAUCAUCAACACACAAUUAUAUUCCACUAAUAUUUUUUAAGGAAGUGAUAUAUAUCAACUCCUUUUCACUGUGUGUGUUUAAAGGGAGGAAAACUCAUGAAUUGUCCUUUUCUCUAUAGGAAAUAUGAAAAUUCACUGGUAUCCCCGCCAAGCAAAGAAAUCUUUCCUUUUUGCCUGGAACCCAUAUUGCGCUCACGAAAAAUGCUUAUAAAAGCAAACUGCUAUUUUAACUGCCCAAAACUGUUUACGCUAAUAUACCAACUUAAAAAGGAUUUGUUAUGUUGUAGGACCACCAGUUAAACUUUACAUUUAUUAGGGAAAGACAAACCUCAACUAUUGCUGUAUUUUCAUAUUUGUCAUACUCUGUUUUAUAUAUACAAAACUAUCUAGGUCGGGGCUUGCUAUAUUCCCAACCCCUACCCCACCCCUCCAGCCUCCAUAUCCUAUAUGUAGUGAUAUGUAUGAUUAUGUCUAUAAUUAUACUUUUCUUUUUAUUUCAUUUGUAAAUCAAGGUCAAGCUCUUCACACUCUCAAGCUCUGCUUUGGCCUUAUAUAUCAUUUUCAGCAUUUGCUAUCAUCUCAAGUCGUUCAAGUGCCUUGUUUACAGGAUGCAUGAAAAACUGGGAAUAUUCGGAAAUAUAAUUUUGUUUUAGAAAAAGAAGUCACUUUAAAAAAUCACAAAUGAAAAAAAAAUAAUAAAGAUUAAUAAUUGAUAUGUAUUGAAAGAUCAAUGUAUAAUUAUACAUAAUCAUCCAUAUCCCUUGUAAUUUACUUUAAAAAAAUAUUAUCGUGAUGAAACACCGGAAAAAUAUGGAUAACUAUUCCUGACCAUCUCUUGUGAAAGUUAUGAUGUAAAUGCCUGGACUCACGUUAAACAAAACUUCCCAAAGAGUUCUGCAACUCAAGUUUGAGGGAUGAUUUAUAUUUUGUUUUUCAAUUAUCAAAAUUGAAGUUGAAGUAUGUAUCAUCUGAAAAAAUGUUCCUUAAACGAUGAAACCUAUAUCUCGAACGCGUUUUUCUUCUUAACUCUUUACAACGACGCGACGGGGUUAAACGUUAAUUAUUCCAAACACACUGGCCCGUAUUCUGAUAGCAGGUUUAAGUAAAACUCAGGUUUAAAGUUGUGGUUUAAGUAUGGAUAGCCAAUUGUUACAUAAAUCACUAUUAAACAGUAUAUCAUACUUCAGCUCAUUUGGCUCUCAAAUCAUUCAUAAUUGUCUAGGAAGUAUAAAAAGAUUAUUGGCUUCACCAUCGAUGAAUCAGGAAAGAGCACAGUAAACAUAAGAAACAGACAACUUAAUAACAACUUUGAUACUUAUGGCUUCCCAUACUUAAACCACAACUUUAAACCUGAGUUUAAGUUAAACCUGCUAUCAGAAUACGGACCACUGAAUCAAUAUAGUGCACGUCAGUGUAUGUUAACAGUGUUCAAACUAAGUCCAUCCUCGAAACAAUGAGGAAUUCAUUACUGGAAACAACUAAUUUUAUUUAGAUAAUGCUGCAUAUUUACAGGGAUUGCACAUCCCAUGAUAACAUGGGUGGAACAUCAUUGUAUAGAGGAAUAAUAAUGCUUUCCAGUGAUACCAUAUUCACCUAAUAAGAAAUAACUCCCAACUUAAUUGCAGAACUUUUUGAGGGGUCUAGAUAAUCCAAUAGCCAAGCUAUGAUGUUUGACAACACUCUAUAGGCCCUAUUUUAAUGACGGGCAUGAUGAAAAUUGAAUUUUCGAUAUAUAUUUCAAAUAUGUUCAGAGGAAUAACAGAGGUGCUUUGCCGUCAAUAUCUGCAUAAUCACUUCUGCCGAAUUAAUUUGGCCUUGCAAACUUAUUUUUAAUAUGUUGACAAUAAUAUUUCUGAUGGAAAGAACAUAUAUAGUGUCCCACUGUCAAUUCCACGUUGUGUUCACAAUGUGGAACAAAAAUGUGAAAUCUAUAUGUACACUGUUAAAUUUUAUCAUUUUCGCAUUCUUACAUAUUUUAUGGUGUGCGACACUGUUAAAAUGAGCAUCUUUAGAGUGUGAAUGACAUUUUCACCUAGUCCAUGAUGUGACUUGAACACACUGUCAACACUAUGUUCUUUCCAUUAAGAAAUAUAUUGUAUUAAAUGAUAUCGUUUUCCCCGCUUUGUCUACUUCGUAUUUAUUAUAAUAUUUUAAUCUUUGCUCCCCUCUUCUCUUUCUUAUCUGACCCCCGCCCCAUUAAAUGUUGUCAUCUUCUGUUAACCCAUCCUGCCAAAGGUUGUGUAAAGCACCCCGUUCCAUUACCUCACCCUAUCUCAUCUACCUUCAUUUCCUGAUCAUUUCUCACAAGCACGCAUUUACACGCCCGGACCCCUUCUUCACUUUAAUACGUUCAACUGCAUUUAUUUUGCUCUCUCUUUUAUUCUUGGGGCAGGGGGAUGUGGAAGGGGGGGGGGCUCCUGAUUCGUUUUUAAUUUCACGGCCUAGUCUUUUUUACUCCGGGCUACUUAUAGAGUAUUUUACUAUUCUCCAUUAUCAAAAUAAUGUGCAUUACACUUCUCAAACACACUAGCUGUUCUUUUUUACGAAGUCGAGAAGAGGGGGGGGGGGGGUGUGUCACAUUCAUUAUUUUUUUAUCCAUUUGCCUUAUUAGAAUAAUUACAAAAACUGUUUUUAUGAUAUUCAAGAAUUAUAUUAAACUUCCACAUAUUUUUUUUCAUUCGGGGGGAGUGGGGAAGCUUUACAUUCGUUAUUACUGGCAUCCAAGUGCAUUUUUAUUUAGACCAACCUUUUUUAUUCUAAUCUACUGCCUUAACCAUAAUUAACAUUUUCUUCCAUUCUUUACCCAUCCCCAUCUUCAUUUCUGUACACACAAUUUCCACUUAUUUUCUUUCAUGUUUUUUUUGCACCAAUCUACACACUAUAAUGCAAUAAACUCUCCUACCACUACCCCGCCCCUCUCUCCCCCUCCCACUCGUUCUUCUCCUGUGCAUCUUCCACCCCCCCCCCUCACUCUCUUUCAAGUUGUUCUUUGCUCAUGAGCAAAGUAGAGUAUGAUCACCCUCUGAAGGGCUUUCACAGUUGGUUGUGCGAUCAUUUAGUUUCAAUAUGUUUUGAACAUGGGAGCAAUGCUCUCAAUCCUCGCGCAACCAAUUUUGAUAACCCCUUUAUUCAUACAGUGCGUCCCACAGAAAAGUAAACUACGAUUCUCAAUUUUUUUUAUUUAAGCAAAUGAUUUAAGGUCUUUCAUUGCUAAUAAAAUUCAGUAUUAUUAAUUUUCAUGCAUAGAUGAGCAAGAAAAGUUUGAAUUUUCAUUUCAAAACAAAGUUGUAAGAAAGUAUUUUGAAAACUAUAUCUCUAAAUAGUUGGAUUCAGAUUCACACCUGACUUUCUGCACAUAUUAUGUCUAAUUUAAUCCUGUACGCAUGAGUGAUUCGCUGAAUAAUUUGUCUCAAAUCAAAGAAAACAUAUUACUCCUACUACUCAUAAUGUUAAAUUUAUCAAUGAUUGUGUUAUCUAUCGAUAAAGAUGGGUUUCCUUUUUUAUGGGACGCACUGUAAAUUUUUACAUAGCUGGGAAACGAGUGAACUUCAUGAAUGGAACAAACUUGAAGUUAUUACUCGAAUUGAAUAGAUGCAAGAAACAUUUAAAAACUUCACUUUAUUGGAGAUUGCCAAUUUAAGGUAAUAUUUAUUUUGGUUUGUAAAUGACGCAAUAUAUAAUUUAUGCACGGCAUCUCUAUGCAUUGUCAGUUAUCAUUCAAUAAUAUCAAUUAAUUGUAUGACAACGUAUAACACACAUUGUCAGAAAUAUGAAAAUCUAUUCUACAAAAUAGUUUUCAUUCUGUUAAGUUCACUCUGGUAAAAAAUUAUAUGUGGAAUUCUGCACCCCCCAUUCAGAUUCUUGACUUGGUAAAAUGUUGCAAAGUGCAUCGUCAUUGAGUUACUCAAUAUGAAUAUUUUCAUGAAGUUUUAUUUAGGAUUAUCGUAAAAUUUUAAGGUUCACCAAGCAUCCUUUUAUUUUGGUGGAUAUUUAAGUUCAUCUUGAAUUAGCAGGAUAAUGCAGUAAUUGCUACAAAGGUAUUUUAAACUAGAUUUUUUUUUAUUUACAAGUUUCAAUGCACAUUGCAACAUUUUACCAAGUCAAGAAUCUGAAUAGGAGAUGGAGGUGCAGAAUAGUCAAUUGAGCAUUGCACAUUAACAAAGAAUUUAUGACAACCAUAAUAUGAGAAUAAAAUGAAUGUAAUUUCAUUAAAAAA